UUGUCACGGCAACCGCAACAGAUCGAGUCCCCCCGACGCAUGCGCUGGGACUCAUGCGAGCGAGCCCGCCCACCGCCCCUGAUCCCCUCCGUCUCAAUCCCCGGCGAGCUGAGCAGGCCCGUCUCUCCCCGCACCCCUGAUCAAUGGAAGCUCCAAGGCGGCGGCGAGAUUACAAGACGGAGCGAGUAGUCGUCAGCCAGGCCCCGCGCUGCCGCCUUCUCAAUUUCGAACCCAAAUCGCCAAUUGCUCGCCGCGCCACUAGCGCUAGCUUUUGCCGCACCGCUGCUUCCUCCACGCCCUCCCAUCAGCGGCCUCCUCCUCCACGCCCCUCCCAGCAGCGGCCUCCUCCUCAUAGUGGAGAGGCUACUCGCGCUAUUCCACGCAGCCGCUUGUGCCGACCAGAUCCGGGUGGGGCUGCGCGGGGGCAGAUGUGGACGACGGCGAAAGCGGUGGCCGGACUCGUCGACAGCUGGGGCCGGUCUUCCCCUCGGCGCGAUUACCCUCGUUCAAUCCAAACCUCAAGAGUUGAAAAGAUAUCAAUUUGUAGUUGAAUUAUCAUGGAUGAAGCACAUUGCUUGAUAGAUCCUAAUUCCUGGUAAGUUUUGCACUCAGAACAUGUCCUUUGUAUCUGGCUUAGGGUUUAGUGCUUUAUCUCAGCCUAGUACAUAUUCUUUUAUGGUACCAAGUUUAAAUUACAAUGCAUCCAUGCAUUACAUGGUACCAAAUUUCAUGUCACAUCCAUAAGGUGCUGCACACUGUAAUAUUUUACGCUUGUUACUCGCCUUUAUUGACCUUAUGUGCAAAUGCCAUUGUUAGUGUCGGAACAGCUUAUGUUUCCUUUUUAAACUUAUUUUGUUAACGCCACACCCUUGCUAUGUCGAAUAUGUUUUGUUAAAUUAUAAGUGCUGCUGUUUAGGUGCUUACAAUUGUUAGGGUCACUGUUCAUGUGAUUUGCAAUUAAGUGGGAUCUAAAUCUGGUCAUUGUUUACUCCAUGUUUAGAAGUUUAGGUAAUUUAUGAGACUGUUCAGGUGCCAGGUCAUCUAAAUGUGGUGUGUGACAAGAUUUAAUUCUUUUAACUUGAUGUUUCUGAACUGGAGGUAAGUUAUAAAAUUGUUUUAUAUGGUGAGUUAUCUAAAUGCAUGCAUUUUGCAAUGCAAUGUAAACAAUUGUUUUGUAUAGUAAUGGAAGGAUGAAAUGAUAAAUAAGGAUUCAGGAUUGUAAUAAACUUGCUACUGUCAGUUCAGUGCUGUAUUUGAACAUGCAACCAACUAUUCUAGCUUUGAUGAACAAGAAAUGAUGAAUUUGUAGGUUUGCCAUAUGGAAAUGAUGAGAGUGCUUUUCAUAGGACUGUAAAUAUAAUUCAAAUUUAAUUGGUGGACAUAACUAUUAAUUGGAAACCUUGUAGGUGUCUUACUUACACUCAAUUAUUUUUGUGGAGUAUCAUAUAAUGGUGAAGCUUGUAUCUAGGCACUGUAAUUAUCAUUUAUCACUUCAAACCAUAUACUUCAUUUAUUUAUGUCUUGUAAACAACAUAGGAUGGCUGAUGAAAGGAAUGUCAGACCCCAUGGUAUACAUAGUAAUACACUGUCCAUUGAGGAUUUAGUACACUUUCAGCCCCCAUGUCAAACCAACAAAUAUCGAUGUUAAUGGAUUUCACCUUCAAAAGUACAUACAUGUCAUUAUAAUUAUGCAAUAUAUAUGGAAACUAAAUAAGGAGAGGGGGAGUGACAUUGCAUUAUGCAGUAAUUUACUACGCUUUUAUGGUCCACAUUGUGAUAUUUGAUUAGUUAGCAGCAACUGAGUUAUGUAUUUAUGAUGCAUUUAACAGUGACAAGAAUAUGUCAGUAGUCUGUUAAACUAUUACUCUGUUGUGGUGGUAUAUCACAAUGAUUGAUUUCAUAUUCAUGAAUAUAACAUUAUUUUUUUAAUAUAACAUUUUAGCUUUACCCAACCUUCUGCUCUUCUCAACUGAUUUAACAAAUGUUUCAGUACUAACUUGGCAUAUUAUUUUGUGAUUAGCUUUACCUAAAACUUCUUCCCCACUAAUUACCAAAUGGUUCUUCGGAAAUUAAAGUGACAUUUAUGUUGUUUCUUUUCAUCUUGUCCUCAUCCAUUAUUUUUACACCACCACUAAAAUUUCUUAGUCCAAAACAAAUGUCCAUCAUAGAAUGCCCUUCCAUAUAUUUAUUUUCCUUGCGCCAUAAAGUAUCUGUUCCUCAGCAGUCACUUGGUUUACAUUAUUCAUAUAGUUCUCUUAGGUAAUAUGACUACUCUUCAUUGUUGUACCUCUUUGCUAUGUUGUUAUGCGGCAAACGUUUGAUCUGAUAGUUUGGAAGUGUUCGGACCUAUUUGGUAUGAAUGCGAACUAAAUUCUAAAAUUCCUAGCUGAAUAAGUCACAGAAUAUUUGUUGUCAA